rnacentral:tRNA from 1 species
GGGGUUGUAGCUCAGUGGUAGAGCAUUUGCCUUGCACGUAGGAGGCCCUGGGUUCGACCUCAGCACCA